AUUUCCUCGUAUUACCGGAACGGAAUACAUUGUUAAAAUUUGUCAGGUUAUUGAAACGUAAGUUGGAAAAUAUUGCAACUACCAACAGAGACAUUUGUUAAAAAUGUCGGCCAAUGUCGAUUUUUUAAGGUUCCUAAUGUAGUUUAAUUGAAUUCCUAAAGCAAUUCGGAAAGAUACUGAACCACGGUUAUAAACCUAUUAAUUGUACUUUCAGUGUGACUAUUUAUUAAAGAUUGAAUCUAAAUUGGUUUAACAUGGGACAAAUAUCUUUCUGAAAAAUUCCUAUUUAUGAUUAAUUUAAUAGAAAAUCAGAAGACUCACAAUAAUGAAUUGAAUAGGUAGCUCAUACAAAGUGUGAAUUGAAGUGUCAGUUUUUGUGCAAUUGUAUGAAGUGUAUGAUAGACUUUUGGGAAUAGAAAAAUAAAACAGUUUUAAUCACA